rnacentral:rRNA from 1 species
CAAGGAAUUUUGCGCAAUGGGCGAAAGCCUGACGCAGCAACGCCGCGUGGGGGAUGAAGGCCUUCGGGUCGUAAACCCCUUUUAUCAGGGAAGAAAAAAAUGACGGUACCUGAGGAAUAAGCAUCGGCUAACUACGUGCCAGCAGCCGCGGUAAUACGUAGGAUGCAAGCGUUAUUCGGAUUUACUGGGCGUAAAGAGGGCGUAGGCGGUCUUUCAAGUCGGAUGUGAAAUCUCACGGCUUAACCGGGAGAGGUCAUCCGAUACUGAUAGGCUAGAGGACAACAGGAGAAAGUGGAAUUCCCGGUGUAGUGGUGAUAUGCGUAGAUAUCGGGAGGAACACCAGUGGCGAAGGCGGCUUUCUAGGUUGUUUCUGACGCUGAGGCCCGAAAGUGUGGGUAGCGAACAGGAUUAGAUACCCUGGUAGUCCACACUGUAAACGAUGGAUACUAGGUAUAGGGAGUAUCGACCCUCUCUGUGCCGAAGCUAACGCUUUAAGUAUCCCGCCUGGGGACUACGGUCGCAAGACUA